UACGAAGGGGGCUAGCGUUGCUCGGAAUUACUGGGCGUAAAGCGCACGUAGGCGGAUUGUUAAGUCGGGGGUGAAAUCCUGGAGCUCAACUCCAGAACUGCCUUCGAAACUGGCGAUCUUGAGUUCGGGAGAGGUGAGUGGAACUGCGAGUGUAGAGGUGAAAUUCGUAGAUAUUCGCAAGAACACCAGUGGCGAAGGCGGCUUACUGGUCCGGUUCUGACGCUGAGGCACGAAAGCGUGGGGAGCAAACAGG
rnacentral:rRNA from 1 species